rnacentral:rRNA from 1 species
UAGGGAAUCUUCGGCAAUGGACGCAAGUCCGACCGAGCAACGCCGCGCGAGUGAAGAAGGUUUUCGGAUCGUAAAACUCUGUUGUUAGAGAAUAACAAGGAUGAGAGUAGAAUGUUCAUCCCUUGACGGUAUCUAACCAGAAAGCCACGGCUAACUACGUGCCAGCAGCCGCGGUAAUACGUAGGUGCCAAGCGUUGUCCGGAUUUAUUGGGCGUAAAGCGAGCGCAGGCGGUUUCUUAAGUCUGAUGUGAAAGCCCCCGGCUCAACCGGGGGGGGUCAUUGGAAACUGGGAAACUUGAGUGCAGAAGAGGCGAGUGGAAUUCCUUGUGUAGCGGUGAAAUGCGUAGAUAUAUGGAGGAACACCAGUGGCGAAGGCGGCUCUCGGGUCUGUAACUGACGCUGAAGCUCGAAAACGUGAGGAGCAAACAGU